UACCUAGGUGACCAGCGUUGUCCGGAUUUACUGGGCGUAAAGAGCGCGCAGGCGGUCGUUCAAGUCGAGUGUGAAAGCCCCCGGCUCAACUGGGGAGGGUCACUCGAUACUGAUCGACUUGAAGGCAGGAGAGGGAAGCGGAAUUCCCGGUGUAGUGGUGAAAUGCGUAGAUAUCGGGAGGAACACCAGUGGCGAAGGCGGCUUCCUGGCCUGUUCUUGACGCUGAGGCGCGAAAGCUAGUGGAGCAAACGGG
rnacentral:rRNA from 1 species